rnacentral:tRNA from 1 species
GGGGGUGUAGCUCAGAGGUAGAGCAUUUGACUGCAGAUCAGAAAGCCCCCCCCUUAAACCCAGGUGCCCCCU